CCUACGGGGGGCAGCAGUGGGGAAUAUUGCACAAUGGGGGAAACCCUGAUGCAGCGACGCCGCGUGGGUGACGAAGUAUUUCGGUAUGUAAAGCCCUAUCAGCAGGGAAGAAGAUGACAGUACCUGACCAAGAAGCCCCGGCUAACUACGUGCCAGCAGCCGCGGUAAUACGUAGGGGGCAAGCGUUAUCCGGAUUUACUGGGUGUAAAGGGAGCGUAGGUGGCAUGGCAAGCCAGAAGUGAAAACCCGGGGCUUAACCCCGCGGAUUGCUUUUGGAACUGUCAGGCUGGAGUGCAGGAGGGGCAGGCGGAAUUCCUGGUGUAGCGGUGAAAUGCGUAGAUAUCAGGAGGAACACCGGUGGCGAAGGCGGCCUGCUGGACUGUAACUGACACUGAGGCUCGAAAGCGUGGGGAGCAAACAGGAUUAGAUACCCUUGUAGUC
rnacentral:rRNA from 1 species